rnacentral:rRNA from 1 species
AGAGUUUGAUCAUGGCUCAGGAUGAACGCUGGCGGCGUGCCUAAUACAUGCAAGUCGAGCGGCAGCACGGUCUUCGGACUGGUGGCGAGCGGCGGACGGCUGAGUAACGCGUAGGAAUAUACCCCAAAGUGAGGGAUAACUGCCCGAAAAGGUGGCUAAUACCGCAUGUGGUCUUCGGACUAAAGCCUUCGGGCGCUUUGGGAAUAGCCUGCGUAAGAUUAGCUAGUUGGUGAGGUAAUGGCUCACCAAGGCGACGAUCUUUAGCUGGUCUGAGAGGAUGACCAGCCAGACUGGAACUGAGACACGGUCCAGACUCCUACGGGAGGCAGCAGUAGGGAAUUUUCCACAAUGGGCGAAAGCCUGAUGGAGCAACACCGCGUGCAGGAUGAAGGCCCUCGGGUCGUAAACUGCUUUAUGCGCGAAGAAUAUGACGGUAACACAUGAAUAAGGGUCGGCUAACUACGUG